CUCGAAAGGGGCUGCGUUCAUGUGAGGCACGUAGCAGUGAAUCCAUCUCAGUAGUCCCAAGCCUAUGUACUGGCAUGCACGUACUCUCCUCACGUUUGCCCACUUCAAACGCGUGUCCUCUUCCAGUCCUGUACGCCACCACUCCCCUUCGCCACUGCUUCCCUCCACCGCCCCAUUUCCCAUACUUAUACCGCGACCAGAGUCCCCAUCCCUCCGUGCCGAGCGCCCAGGUGAUGCGUUGGGGCCCCUGGAUGUGCGCAAAACGCGUGCGUCUUCCAGUUCUUGUGACACAUCUGCGCGCUGUUGCACGCCCAAUGUGGGGCUCGAACCCACGACCACAAGGUUAAGAGCCUUGCGCUCUACCGACUGAGCUAACCGGACACGAAGAGAUGCAGACACAGACACACACAGCCUCCACACACACACCAGCACCACACCUGAACACACAUCGGCAACCCCGCGUCCCCGGGCGCUCGUAACGGUCACUGCCAGGCGCCUCGCCCACCAGAUAACCCAGGCCCGCCGCUGCCUCUACUGCCCCAGCCCCUUGCACGUGCCCACCUCGCGCCCAGCCUCCUGCACCGCCCACAGCAAUUCCGCUCCCACUGACAUACAUACCGCAGCCGCCACAGCCGAAGGGAGGUGGUACGGAUGGCAAGUGCAUGCUCACAGCUAUGUUGCCCAGCUGUCGACGAGCCUGAGGUAUCUGGCGGACGAGGCGCCUGGCAGUGACCGUUACAAGCGCCUGCUGGGGACGCGGGGCUGCCACAGUGUGUUCAGGUGUGGUGCUCGUGAGUCCGUGUGGGCUGUGUGGGUCCUUGCCUGCAUCCCUUCGUGCCCGGUUAGCUCAGUCGGUAGAGCGCAAGGCUCUUAACCUUGUGGUCGUGGGUUCGAGCCCCACAUUGGGCGUGCAUCAGCGCGCAGAUGUGUCACAAGAACUGGAAGACGCACGCGUUUUGCGCACAUCCAGGGGCCCCACGAACCACCUGGGCACUCGGCACGGAGGGCACAGACCCGCAAUGCCAGGAGCGGACGAGAGGGGAGAGGAGGAGAGGGGGUAGGAGGAGAGGAGGUGGGCGGUGGCGGACGUACAUAGAAAGCAAAGGAGGCGAGCACGGAAGUACUGGAGGUGCGUGCUUGUUCAUCCGAAGGGAUUGCCACGCACCUUUUCGAUUAUGGGGGAAUUUCCUGGCUCUCCAAGGGUCAGGCAUGCAGACGCACGCACCGCACGUGCUGCCCCACGGUGCUGCCCUGACACUCGUAUGAAGUCCCGAUUCCGGAAUGCCGGUGUUUGCUCAAUCUGGGCGAUGCUACGGCGACUCAUGCCACCAUUGCUGUGACCGCAUCUCCCACGUCCGUGCCUCUGCCGUCCUGGGUGAGGCUGCAAGCAUGCACCUGGUGCCAUCGCACACCACGCCCAUGCCAUCGCCCCCACCAGCACUAGCCAGCAGCACCUCCUCACCUCGCAGCAGGACAUCGCCCCGUCCUGAGCAGCUGAGCGGCCGCCGCAUGCCUACAUCUGCAGCAUAGACUGACCAGCUCGAAGCCGGCGCUUUUCUCUUAUGUCUCAGUACAGUAACUCCAGCACUAUACCAGCCGCGCACUCUUGCCUUGACGGUGCAAAUUAAUUGUUGGGGUCUGGGAGUAAUGAGUAAUCUACACGUUACGGGACUACGCCAACCUGCCCCUUCCACUGUCCAUUCCUACGGAACAAGCGCCGGCCCAUGCCAAUGCCCCUGGACGCUGGGGCCCACCUGAUCCCAGGCCGGAGCCCAUGCCGUACAUGCCCGUGCCUGACUUCACAUCCGCCGCGACCGCGACGGCGGUCGGCCGGUCGCAUUCCCAGGUGGAUGCGGGGGUGAGGAGUAGCCACAGCCAUCAUGUACAGCUAAACUUGCAGAGCGCGCUCAUGUAAUGCGGUGCAGCCGAUGCUCUGCACUCUGCAGCGCGGGCGAACUCUUACACGCAGCGUCUGCAUGCACUCAAGGGUUGUGCACAGACGUGGGUGGCUUGCACUCAGUGCGCUGUGGCCGCCUCAAGGUGACCAAAUGUCCCGCCAACAAUGUGCACGCGUGUUUCUGUUUUCGAAUCGCGUCUCAAGACGCAGUGCGUCUUGUGCAUCGCGUGUGUGUGAGACGCGGCGCGUCUAGGGUAUCAGGCUAGCGUCUGGUGUGACGCAUCGCGUUAGCUAAGACGCGCUCUCCAUGCAAUUGUACCGCGUCACGACUCGCGUUCCAUUGCGUCUCGCAGACGCAGUGAAACGCGCUAUCUGCAAUGGUGCCCCGCUUCACUGUUUCUGGUUGCGUCCCCAUCGCGUCUCUCCCGCGUCUCCCCCGCGUUUCCCCCUUAACGCGCAGCGUCUCGGCGCGUCUGACACCGCGUCUCACAGGUCAGACGCGCCCAGACGCGGUUUCCCGUUGUUAUAGUGCACGUGCCGGGGAACGAGCGUAAAGGUAAAGCUACAAUCCUCUGUCUGGUCCGUUGCCGCGUGACUCAGCAUGAAUGUCUCUCCGUUCCUUCCCACCGCCCGCAUGUCGCCUAGUUGGCUUGCCUUGGGGCUUGGGCGCGUGCUACGCCCACUGACGAAGAAAUGCAGUUACUAAUUAGUGUUGCGGAACUAAUGCGUACGUAGACCAGAGCGGAAGGCGGAGUGGGCUUGCAGGCGGCACGAGAGUAGGCAGUCAGUAGCGCAAGUUGCGAAUUCACAUGUUACCUCGUAACCGACGGUAAACGCUGUGGACGGUCGCGCCCAUGGCUGGCUGACGGAAGGUGGCUGCUGUAUUGGGACGGCUGGGAUGGACGACGCCGGCCGGGCUGGCGUUGGGACUACCAGAAAGGAUGCGCCCGAAACCAACCUGGAGAACACCAGUUAGCCGUACGUAGCAGUGCAACUUGAUUGCUUCACCUGGCCCGCUGGUCUCGUUCAGGAUCCCAGGCGCGUAUUUUGUACGAGUGUCAGGGCAGCACCUGCGGUGCGCCUGCAUGCCUGACCCUUGGAGAGCCAGGAAAUUCCCCCAUAAUGGAAAAGGUGCGUGGCAAUCCCUUCGGAUGAACAAGCACGCACCUCCAGUACUUCCGUGCUCGCCUCCUUUGCUUUCUGUGUACGUCCGCCACCGCCCAUCUCCUCUCCUCCUACCCCGUCUCCUUCGCUCCCCUCUCGUCCGCUCCUGGCAUUGCGGAUCUGUGCCCUCCGUGCCGAGCGCCCAGGUGAUGCGUUGGGGCCCCUGGAUGUGCGCAAAACGCGUGCGUCUUCCAGUUCUUGUGACACAUCUGCGCGCUGAUGCACGCCCAAUGUGGGGCUCGAACCCACGACCACAAGGUUAAGAGCCUUGCGCUCUACCGACUGAGC
rnacentral:lncRNA from 1 species